UACAGCAUGGCUCUGGAACCUCCCCUGCCUCAAAACAGCUCAGAAGAGCAUGUAUACGCCAUGUUUGCACCAAGUGACAGGCUGAUGGGGCAGCACAAUCUUAAGAAUUCUGUGAAAUGCUAAGGAUAUUAAGCAUGCCAUAUAAAGUUACUCUGGAACAAUGGAAGCCAUUUUGAGCCAUACUUUCCCACAUCGCAAUGUUCUGAGAGGUCCAGCUGCUUGUUUUGAUUUCAGACAGUGACUCAGAGGUCGGAAAGUUGGACUGAAGACGUGGGCAGGCAUGAAAUCUGGCAAUAAAGCAUACAGGAACCUAAGUUAACCUUUCCAGAUAAUUUAAAGUUCCAAUGCCCAGCAGAUUCUUUCCUGGCUGUCGUGAAGUGUAUGAGCUAAGGCCAUUGAAACAUUGUUUGGAAUCCAUCCUUAUUUUAUAAAA